rnacentral:rRNA from 1 species
GAUGAACGCUAGCGGCAGGCUUAACACAUGCAAGUCGAGGGGUAUAGUAGCAAUACUAGAGACCGGCGCACGGGUGCGUAACGCGUAUGCAACCUACCUUUUACAGAGGGAUAGCCCCAGAGAAAUUUGGAUUAAUACCUCAUAGUGUUAUUAGAUGGCAUCAUUUGAUAACUAAAGUUCCAACGGUAAAGAUGGGCAUGCGUCCUAUUAGCUAGAUGGUAAGGUAACGGCUUACCAUGCUACGAUAGGUAGGGUCCUGAGAGGGAGAUCCCCCANACUGGUACUGAGACACGGACCAGACUCCUACGGGAGCAGCAGUGAGG